rnacentral:rRNA from 1 species
UACGAAGGGGGCUAGCGUUGCUCGGAAUCACUGGGCGUAAAGCGCACGUAGGCGGAUUGCUAAGUCAGGGGUGAAAUUCUGGAGCUCAACUCCAGAACUGCCUUUGAUACUGGACGAUCUUGAGUCCGGGAGAGGUGAGUGGAACUGCGAGUGUAGAGGUGAAAUUCGUAGAUAUUCGCAAGAACACCAGUGGCGAAGGCGGCUCACUGGCCCGGUACUGACGCUGAGGUGACGAAAGCGGUGGGGAGCAAACAGGGAUUAGAAACCCUUCGG